ACGCUGGCGGCACGCCUAACACAUGCAAGUCGAACGAAGUAGCAAUACUUAGUGGCAGACGGGUGAGUAACAUGUAGGUAUCUGCCCUUUGGCCUGGAAUAACACGAGGAAACUUGUGCUAAUACCGGAUAAGUCUUUACAGAGAAAGCUUUAUGCACCAUUGGAUGAGCCUGCACUUGAUUAGUUUGUUGGUGGGGUAAUGGCCUACCAAGACUGUGAUCAAUAGCUGAUUUGAGAGGAUGAUCAGCCACAUUGGGACUGAGACACGGCCCAAACUCCUACGGGAGGCAGCAGUGGGGAAUCUUGCACAAUGGAGGAAACUCUGAUGCAGCGAUGCCGCGUGAGUGAAGAAGGCCCUUGGGUUGUAAAGCUCUUUCGUCGGGGAAGAAAAUGACUGUACCCGAAUAAGAAGGUCCGGCUAACUUCGUGCCAGCAGCCGCGGUAAUACGAAGGGACCUAGCGUAGUUCGGAAUUACUGGGCUUAAAGAGUUCGUAGGUGGUUGAAAAAGUUGGUGGUGAAAUCCCAGAGCUUAACUCUGGAACUGCCAUCAAAACUUUUCAGCUAGAGUAUGAUAGAGGAAAGCAGAAUUUCUAGUGUAGAGGUGAAAUUCGUAGAUAUUAGAAAGAAUACCAAUUGCGAAAGGCAGCUUUCUGGAUCAUUACUGACACUGAGGAACGAAAGCAUGGGUAGCGAAGAGGAUUAGAUACCCUCGUAGUCCAUGCCGUAAACGAUGUGUGUUAGACGUUGGAAAUUUAUUUUCAGUGUCGCAGCGAAAGCGAUAAACACACCGCCUGGGGAGUACGACCGCAAGGUUAAAACUCAAAUGAAUUGACGGGGACCCGCACAAGUAGUGGAGCAUGUGGUUUAAUUCGAAGAUACGCGCAGAACCUUACCAACACUUGACAUGUUCGUCGCGACUCUAAGAGAUUAGAGUUUUCGGUUCGGCCGGACGAAACACAGGUGCUGCAUGGCUGUCGUCAGCUCGUGUCGUGAGAUGUUGGGUUAAGUCCCGCAACGAGCGCAACCCUCACUUUUAGUUGCCAUCAUUAAGUUGGGCACUCUGAAAGAACUGCCAGUGAUAAGCUGGAGGAAGGUGGGGAUGACGUCAAGUCCUCAUGGCCCUUACGUGUUGGGCUACACACGUGCUACAAUGGUAUCUACAACAGGAAGCAAGACUGCGAAGUUAAGCAAAUCCCUAAAAGAUACCUCAGUUCGGAUUGCACUCUGCAACUCGAGUGCAUGAAGCUGGAAUUACUAGUAAUCGUGGAUCAGCGUGCCACGGUGAAUGCGUUCCCGGGUCUUGUACACACCGCC
rnacentral:rRNA from 1 species